AUUGAACGCUGGCGGCAUGCCUUACACAUGCAAGUCGAACGGCAGCACGGGAGCAAUCCUGGUGGCGAGUGGCGAACGGGUGAGUAAUAUAUCGGAACGUGCCCAGUCGUGGGGGAUAACGUAGCGAAAGCUACGCUAAUACCGCAUACGAUCUAUGGAUGAAAGCGGGGGAUCGCAAGACCUCGCGCGAUUGGAGCGGCCGAUAUCAGAUUAGGUAGUUGGUGAGGUAAAGGGCUCACCAAGCCGACGAUCUGUAGCUGGUCUGAGAGGACGACCAGCCACACUGGGACUGAGACACGGCCCAGACUCCUACGGGAGGCAGCAGUGGGGGAAUUUUUGGGACAAUGGGCGCAAGCCUGAUCCAGCAAUGCCGCGUGCAGGAUGAAGGCC
rnacentral:rRNA from 1 species